rnacentral:rRNA from 1 species
UACAGGGGGUGCAAACGUUGCUCGGAAUCAUUGGGCGUAAAGCGCACGUAGGCGGUCUGUUAUGUCGGAUGUGAAAGCCCUUGGCUCAACUGAGGAAGUGCAUCCGAAACUGGCAGGCUAGAGUACUAAAGAGGAUCGCGGAAUUCCAGGUGUAGCGGUGAAAUGCGUAGAUAUCUGGAGGAAUACCGGUGGCGAAGGCGGCAUCCUGGACCGGCAUUGACGCUGAGGAGCGAAAGCCAGGGGAGCAAACGGG